GGACGAUUUAGCCAUGCUAGUCGUACGAGUUCAUACUCGUGGCGAAUAGCUCAGUAACACGUGGCCAAACUACCCUUCGGAACACAAUACCCUCGGGAAACUGAGGCUAAUAGUGCAUACCAUACUCCCCCUGGAAUGAGGGUUGUGCCAAACGCUCCGGCGCCGAAGGAUGUGGCUGCGGCCGAUUAGGUAGACGGUGGGGUAACGGCCCACCGUGCCAAUAAUCGGUAUGGGUCAUGAGAGUGAGAACCCGGAGACGGAAUCUGAGACAAGAUUCCGGGCCCUACGGGGCGCAGCAGGCGCGAAACCUUUACACUGCACGCCAGUGCGAUAGGGGAAUCCCAAGUGCGCAGGCAUAGAGCCUGUGCUUUUGUUCACCGUAGGGAGGUGAACGAAUAAGGGCUGGGCAAGACCGGUGCCAGCCGCCGCGGUAAUACCGGCAGCCCGAGUGAUGGCCGAUUUUAUUGGGCCUAAAGCGUCCGUAGCUGGCUGCGCAAGUCCAUCGGAAAAUCCACCUGCUCAACGGGUGGGCGUCCGGUGGAAACUGCGUGGCUUGGGACCGGAAGGCGCGACGGGUACGUCCGGGGUAGGAGUGAAAUCCCGUAAUCCUGGACGGACCGCCGAUGGCGAAAGCACGUCGCGAGGACGGAUCCGACAGUGAGGGACGAAAGCCAGGGUCUCGAACCGGAUUAGAUACCCG
rnacentral:rRNA from 1 species